rnacentral:rRNA from 1 species
CCUACGGGCGGCAGCAGUGAGGAAUAUUGGUCAAUGGGCGCGAGCCUGAACCAGCCACGUAGCGUGAAGGAUGACUGCCCUACGUGUUUAAAACUUCUUCUAUAAAGGAAUAAAUUGAGGCACGUGUUCCUUUUUCCAUGUACUUUAUCAAUAAGGCACGGCUAACUCUGUGCCAGCAGCCGCGGUAAUACGGAGGAUCCGAGCGUUAUCCGGAUUUAGUGGGUUUAAAGGGAGCGUAGAUGGGUUUUUAAGUCAGUUGUGAAAGUUGGCGGCUAAACCGUAAAAUUGCAAUUGAUACUGGCAGUCUUGAGUACAGGUGAGGUAGGUGGAAUUCGUGGUGUAGCGGUGAAAUGCUUAGAUAUCACGAAGAACUCCGAUGGCGAAGGCAGCUUACUAAACUGCAACUGACAUUGAUGCUCGAAAGUGUGGGUAUCAAACAGGAUUAGAUACCCGAGUAGUC